UACAGAGGUCUCAAGCGUUGUUCGGAUUCAUUGGGCGUAAAGGGUGUGUAGGUGGCGCCGUAAGUCGGGUGUGAAAUUUCGGAGCUUAACUCCGAAACUGCAUUCGAUACUGCGGUGCUUGAGGACUGGAGAGGAGACUGGAAUUCAUGGUGUAGCAGUGAAAUGCGUAGAGAUCAUGAGGAAGACCAGUGGCGAAGGCGGGUCCCUGGACAGUUCCUGACACUGAGACACGAAGGCCAGGGGAGCAAACGGG
rnacentral:rRNA from 1 species